rnacentral:misc_RNA from 1 species
CUUCCGUUGUUUGGAAACACCCACCCACGAGGCUUCUGUGUUGCUUGUCCUGGCCAAAUGACAGGGUAUAAUUUCUGACUUGAACUGGACUGAUUAGGAGGCAUUGAGUAAAGUGUUUCAGGAGGCACAACUGAUAAACCAGAGUAAUUAGACCAAUAACCAAUCUUCCUAUACCCCGUGCCAACAACAUUGAUUAUUUCAUAUGCAGGUUGAAUGAGGUUCCCAUCAGCAUUGAACUUGAUUUGACCUGUUACACCUGUCAU